CUUGGCGCCGAUGUUUCAGGUGCUUGCGUCGCAUAAUCACUGCGCGCAGCUUAAACGGGAAACAGGUGCGCUGGGUUCAACUAAUUUGACCAGCAAAGCCUGUACUGCCCCCGCAACGGUAAACAGAGAACACUAUUCCGUCAGGCCAGUGAGGCGCUGACAGCCACUGCGUAAACCGUGGGAAGGCGAAUAGUUGCUAUAAAUAGCACUGCGUAAUUCAUACGCACUCUGUGAGUCCGGAGACCGGCCCGAAACCCAAGAAUAGA
rnacentral:ncRNA from 2 species